rnacentral:rRNA from 1 species
UGAACGCUGGCGGCGUGCCUACUACAUGCAAGUCGAACGCUGGAGAUCUAGCUUGCUAGAUCGAAGGAGUGGCGAACGGGUGAGUAAUACAUAAGCAACCUACCCACGAAGACUGGGAUAAUCUCUGGAAACGGGGACUAAUACCGGAUAGGUAAUCGGAAGGCAUCUUCUGGUUAUUAAAGGUUAAAAACACUGGUGGAUGGGCUUAUGGCGCAUUAGUUAGUUGGUGAGGUAACGGCCCACCAAGACGAUGAUGCGUAGCCGGCCUGAGAGGGUGAACGGCCACAUUGGGACUGAGACACGGCCCAGACUCCUACGGGAGGCAGCAGUAGGGAAUUUUCGGCAAUGGGGGCAACCCUGACCGAGCAACGCCGCGUGAGUGAAGACGGCCUUCGGGUUGUAAAGCUCUGUUGUAAGGGAAGAACGGUAGAUAGAGAAUAUCUAAGUGACGGUACCUUACCAGAAAGCCACGGCUAACUACGUG